GCUCUAGGAAAUGACUAAACUUUGCAAACUUAUAAAAGAAUGGAGAAAGAACGAAUAGGUUCAUUUUUAAGAGGCCAUUUCUAGAGUGAAAUUGAGGAUGGUUAUAAAAUACAUUAAAUAUAAUUACAAAAGAAAAUGGGGUAGGAGGCAAUUAGGAUUAAACUAACUAAAGUGUUCAAACUGUAAAAUAGGAGCUAAAUGGAGGAAAAGGUAUCAAAAAGCUUUGAGGAAGAAUGAUAGGAAGGAGAAAAAAGAUACUACGUAGUAAAGAUGGAGAAAUAUGUAAGAGAAGAUAACACACAAUGAAAAGGAAGGAAAAAAAUGAAGAGAACUAUAAGAAGAGUGAUAAAAAGAGAAGAUGGGAGUAGGAACAAGUAGGAAUUGACUUUAUAAGCCAAACCUAAAACAGAGAGAAAUAACAAUAAAAAGAAAAGCAUUGUUAAAGCCAUUUUUUAAGUAUAUUUGAGGAAUUUAAUUUGUAAUUUAAUUUUCUUUUCAUUAAAUUUCAUUAUCAUUUGGUAAUUAUUUUGUUGUUUUUUCUUCUUUUGUGGCAAGGCUUGCCAAAUUGAUGGCCACAUAAGCGUUUUUUUAUAUAAAAAGAAAAAGAAAUGGCUACAUAAGUGUUUUUUUUUUAGGGGGAAAUGGCUACAUAAGCUAAUUACAGUUUCUUAAACUAAUUUCUUAAGAGACAUAGAGCACUUAAGAGGAUCAUUUAACAAAAAUAGUGAUACCACUUAAGAAAGAUCACUUAAGAAAUUAAGAGAAAUUAGCUUAGAAAAAAGUUAAUAAAUUCCAUAUAUAUAGAGAGAGAGCACUUAUCACUUAAGAAGAAAGACCACGCACUCAAGAAGAAAGAAAGAUCAUUCAGGAAGAAAGAUCACCUAAAAAAGGUCAAUUAAGAAGGAAGAUCAAUUUAGAAUAAAGGUAACUUAAGAAAAGAAAGAUCCCCUAAGAAAAUCAAGAGACCACUUAAGAAAAAUCACUUAAGAAAAUCAAAGCGGUCAUAGAAAUUAGCUUAAAAUAGUGAGGGAGUGAGAAAGAAACCAUUUAAGAAAGAUCACUUAUGAAAAAAGAUCAUUUAAGAAAAUCAAGGAAAUUAUCUUAAGAAUCAGGGCAAUAAGCUAAGGAAAAAGGCUUACUAAAAUGUGUGUGCGAGAUAGAGAUCACUUAAAAAAUCAUGGAAAUAGCUUGAGAGAGAGAGAGAGACCUCUUAUGAAGGAUCAUUUAAGAAAAUCAAGUCAAUUAGUUAAUAUGUGUGUGUGUGUGUGUCUGAGAGGGAGAGAGAGAGAGAGAUGCCACUUAUUAAAGACCACUUAAGAAAAUUAGGGGCAUUAGCUUUAGAGAGAUAGAAAUACCAUUUAAGAAAGUUCAUAUAAGGCAAUAAGAACUAUAAGAUUGGGAAAAUAGAGGGUACACAACACCCAACGAGGGAAGAAGAGAUAGGAAAAAAUUUACCAGAAGUGAUAAAAAGAUAUGGAAAAGCUAACAUGAAUUGACUUUAUAUAAAUCAACAAAUAACACCAUAAAAACAAUUUGGAUAUAAAUUUAAUUAAUACUUUUAAUAUCAACAAAACUACAAAAAAAAAAAAAAUCCUAAUAUAUUUUUUUAAAGUAAAAGGAGGAAAUAUUGAAUCUCUUUAAGAAAGCAUUAUAAGAGGCAAUAAUCUAAGGCAUAUUAUGGUAGUUGGUAAACUUAAGGAAUUUUUCUAGGUUUCACAUAAGGCAUUGAAUAAAAAGAAAUUUUUUAGGAUUGUUAGAUGCUAUAUUUAUUAUAUAGAAUAUGUUGUAUGAAUUUCAGUUAUUGAGUAAAUAAAUUGUGAAACUUUGUCACAUAUAAAAAUUUAAAAUUCGCUUAGACUAAUCUUUAGUUUUAUUCUAAUGUUUUAAAUAAUUGUUAUAAUUUUCUUAAGCGUUUGAAUAUGGGAUUGGUUUCUAACUUUGAUUUGAAAAAAGAUACUUAAUAAUGGUGUUUUAGAGUUCAUUCUCUGUCUUAUAUUUUAGAUAGGAGUUCAUGAUAGAUUUCAGGUUUAAUUGUAUUUGAGAGUAUUGUUAUGUAUGAGAUCAUUUCUGUUUUAUGAGAUUUGGUUUAAUGGUUUUGGGUUUAAUCUACAGUUGUACCAGUUUGACACUGGUUACGAACAAAACAAAGGUUAUUGUCAUGUCAUUACAGUUGGAUUUUGAUUAGAAAAGUUACAUUUAACUGCUCAACAUAAUUAAAGCAGUCACCAAGAAAAUGCCAGAAGUUAAGAAGCAAGAGCAUCAGAACAGUACUUCUGUUUUGAUUGGAAAUUAUAAUAAACAUAAUGAAUAAUAAAAUCUCACAUCUUAAACAGUAGCUGAUAUUGUUAACCUAUGCUUUCGUUUUGUGUUGUGACAGAUUUGUGAUAGAAUAUGUAUCCACAUGAUGAAAAUGGAAAUGGUAAUUGAUCAGCAGAAGCUUUGUCUCCGCCUCCAACAGAAAUUCUUCCAGAUAUAGUACCAAUUAAGGCUGAACCAGAUCCGCACAAAGAAGAAACGUGACCCUAUGGCUAUAUGCGGCAGUGGGAUCAAAGGUCAAAAGAUUCAGCUGCUUCGUAAUCGCUUCAAAGACACUGGACCUAAGUUAGCUUAAGGAAGGGAGCCCAAAACCAAAUCCAAAAAGCACGGGAAAAUCAACUCUAAAGAAGAUUAUGGUUCUCUUAUCAAGGGUAAAACUAGGGAAAUUUCUGCUUGUCUGGUGAAAAGGCUAAUGCUUCAGCUGAAAAACCUUCGGGUUCAGAGAAGUAGAAAGAAGAUCUUGAAGCAACAAUUUUCUUGCUUUGCAGCCACGUUAGAGUUUACUCCUAUAUUCCUGAAAUAGCUAAUAUUCUUAAGGGGAUUGCUUUGCUGCAAGUUUGUGAGAACAAAUGGGCUGCUGUGAGCUUAGAUUUCCCAAAUUGAGAAAUGCAACUAAUGAAGUAUUGCUUAAUUUAUACUAUGUAACUUAUAUUUUUUUUUUUUUAUGGAAAUCAGUUAGAUUCUUGAAUAAAUUUUCUCUACGGGACAUCUGAAAAAAAAGACAUUGAGACUUGUUUGUAACUUAUAAUGAAGGACUAGGCAUGAACUUUA